rnacentral:rRNA from 1 species
UGAAACUCGCCUACAUGAAGCUGGAAUUGCUAGUAAUCACAGGUCAGCAUACUGUGGUGAAUACGUUCCCGGGCCUUGUACACACCGCCCGUCACACCAUGAGAGUUGAGAAUACCCGAAGCCCAUGUCAAAGUGGUCGAAGGUAGGCUUGAUGAUUGGGGUGAAGUCGUAACAAGGUAUC